UGCACUCUGACCUCCUGCUAUAGAAACAUAUACAUGUACAUUGUCAAUGUAAAAAUCAAAAAUUCCCUGAUGUGAAAACACAAGUCCAUCUGAAUGACAACAUGCAGACAGGGUCUAAAGUAGUGCACUAUAUAGGGAGUAGGGUGCCAUGGGGCUCUGGUCUAAAGUAGUGCACUAUAUAGGGAGUAGGGUGCCAUGGGGCUCUGGUCUAAAGUAGUGCACUAUAUAGGGAGUAGGGUGCCAUGGGGCUCUGGUCUAAAGUAGUGCACUAUAUAGGGAGUAGGGUGCCAUGGGGCUCUGGUCUAAAGUAGUGCACUAUAUAGGGAGUAGGGUGCCAUGGGGCUCUGGUCUAAAGUAGUGCACUAUAUAUAUGGAAUAGGGUGCCAUGGGGUUCUGGUCUAAAGUAGUGCACUAUGUAGGGAAUAGGGUGCCAUGUGAGAUACAGGUGGUCUGUUUGUAUUUCAGUUGGUGUGUCAGUCUUUACUAGCCAGGAUGCCAGAUAUGUUUGUUGUGACUGUCUGUGUAGAAGCUGGAGACGGGCUGGUGUAACCUGGCAACCCGGCUGGAUCAUUUCCAACAGGGAUGACUAAUCGUCUCUACAAAAAGGUCUGCUGUAUCGCCUGGCAACCGACGAUUUCUAGAAUGGAAAUCCAUACUAGACCGUCUGAUUGGUCCAUCCCAUCGGUUUCUGGGACCAGAGCCAGAACACGUGUGGCUGUAGCUUCAUUUUCAUGCUCUGAUUGGUUAGAGAUGAUCCAAUCGCUGAUGAGGACUUCAUUUUGAUACUCUGAUUGGUUAGAGAUGAUCCAAUCACUGAUGAGGACUUCAUUUUGAUGCUCUGAUUGGUUAGAGAUGAUCCAAUUGCUGAUGAGGACUUCAUUUUGAUGCUCUGAUUGGUUAGAGAUGAUCCAAUUGCUGAUGAGGACUUCAUUUUGAUGCUCUGAUUGGUUAGAGAUGAUCCAAUCGCUGAUGAGGACUUCAUUUUGAUGCUCUGAUUGGUUAGAGAUGAUCCAAUCGUUGAUGACGACUUCAUUUUGAUACUCUGAUUGGUUAGAGAUGAUCCAAUCACUGAUGACGACUUUGUUUUGGUACAACAGCCCUCAUUUUGACAUCGCCACAAACCUACUUCAGCGAUGUCAGCCUCAGACUGAAGUAAGUAGGGAACGUAAAACAGAGGAGGGAUUCGGUUUGUGUCGUCAGGUCGACCUGCUGUUAGUGCCGGCUUUAGUUCCAGCCAAGCGCUACCAGAACCGGACUCAACUGAUCUCUGACAUGCAUAGAUAAUGAUUGAUAAGAGGUUCUGUAAUAAAGACGUUGAUUAGA